rnacentral:piRNA from 1 species
UGAGGAAUAUCGCAGGGUUCUUCUGAAGAC